AAUCAACAAUGGUGGUAUCUUGGUAGAACUAAUGCAUUUCCUUAUGAUUUACUAUCCUGACUUAAAAGAUAUCGACUGAUUUUACAGCUGCUGUGCACAUAAUACGCUGCUAUAUGUUUCGUAGUAUUAUCCUUCUAAGAACAAGUACCGGCGCUCUGUUUUGCUAAUCCAAAAGGUGCAGCUUGUUAUUGUCCUUCAACUAUGCUUCCAGCAUAUAUGUGUUUUAACUUCUUGAUCCUUGUUUUGCUAUGCUUAACCUUUCAUACCCAGAUUCUUGGAUAAACUAAUGGUAGAAUUUCUUACCUUUGCCAUGCCUUGCUUUGCAUGCUUCAAGAAGCUUUUCAGAAUACUCAGUUAAUUGUGCUGGUUGUUCAUAUCCUUAGCUGUUUUGCAACUUAUCUGUCAAGUAGGUUUUACACUUUCGACAACUGGGAUAAUCAUGCUGUAAUUGCAUGCGAUGCUACUUCUAUAUUGUUGUGCUCUGAAAUAUAUUUUCAAAGGCAUAACCGAUUGGUCAAAAUAUACAGCUUGAGAUACUUUCAGUUUAGUUCAUAUCAUAUAUGAUUUUAGUUUGUCACACGGUAUUUUUUUUAAAAAAUUAUUAGCUAUCAAGGCAAGGAUAAGACAUCAGGACAAAGAAAAGUUACCCUAUGCGUUUUUGGUGAUGUUGCAGAACACUCUUGAGAAGCGACAGCUAGGUAUUAUGACGCAUAUCUUCCUUCUCUGUUCAAAGCUUGCACAAGUGAAAACCCUGAUGUUAUACAAUGUGGAGUACAAUGGCUCCUACGGCUCGGCUUCGUGGCCGGGAUCAGGCAUCGCUGGAUCGGUGGCACCAAAGGUGGGUUGUGGAAGACUGCACCGGGGAGCAUCGAGCCAUCGACCGAACAAGGUCUGAGAGUCGUUUAUGAUCCCGUAGGCCUCCGACAACAUCAAUAAUAAGGAUAGGAGUUGUCUGCUUCAUAUCGCCUCUGUCUCCACCCACGUUUCAGUU